UUGCCUUCAAGGCUAUACAUUAAGAUUCAACUCUUACCAUUGACCCCUUCAAGGGUUACCAACAAUACCUUGUAAUUACACUUAGAAUUCUCACAUUAAGCAUAAGUAAAGCAAGAUUAAUCAACUAAUUCAACAUAUCCACAAUUGUAGGUAAUCACCUUGCAUCAAUACAUUCAUCAAUAUUCAAGAAGUUGGGGUCAUGGGGUGCACAUGGGUUCAAGGGGAUUUUCACAAUAGAAAUCAUCAAUUAACUUCAAUUCAUACAUAAUAUAGGUCAAAUAACAUAAUGAAAACGUUUUUGUUGAGAACCCAUGGCUAGAGUAGAAACCCUAGUUUUUGGUCAAAUAGUCAAUUUCGAAAAUAGAAGUUUUGAAGGGCUUCAUGGAGAAACUAUUCCAUAAAUCAAGAUCCC
rnacentral:lncRNA from 1 species